CCUACGGGUGGCAGCAGUCGAGAAUCAUUCACAAUGGGGGAAACCCUGAUGGUGCGACGCCGCGUGGGGGAAUGAAGGUCUUCGGAUUGUAAACCCCUGUCAUGUGGGAGCAAAUUAAAAAGAUAGUACCACAAGAGGAAGAGACGGCUAACUCUGUGCCAGCAGCCGCGGUAAUACAGAGGUCUCAAGCGUUGUUCGGAAUCACUGGGCGUAAAGUGUGCGUAGGCUGUUUCGUAAGUCGUGUGUGAAAGGCGCGGGCUCAACCCGCGGACGGCACAUGAUACUGCGAGACUAGAGUAAUGGAGGGGGAACCGGAAGUCUCGGUGUAGCAGUGAAAUGCGUAGAUAUCGAGAGGAACACUCGUGGCGAAGGCGGGUUCCUGGACAUUAACUGACGCUGAGGCACGAAGGCCAGGGGAGCGAAAGGGAUUAGAUACCCGAGUAGUC
rnacentral:rRNA from 1 species